rnacentral:misc_RNA from 1 species
UUAGAGGUGAUUGCCAAGUUAGGUUUUGUUGAGCCAACACCAAUACAGGCACAAGGGUGGCCAAUGGCCCUUAAGGGUAGAGAUUUAAUUGGCAUUGCAGAAACGGGUUCUGGUAAGACUUUGGCAUACUUGCUGCCAGCAUUGGUGCAUGUCAGUGCACAACCUCGAUUGGUACAAGGUGAGGGACCAAUUGUGUUAGUAUUAGCUCCUACAAGAGAAUUGGCUGUUCAAAUCCAAGAAGAAGCUAUAAAGUUUGGUUCACAUGCUAAUAUUAGGAGUACUUGCAUAUAUGGUGGUGCUCCCAAAGGACCUCAAAUUCGUGAUCUUCAAAGAGGUGUUGAGAUUGUGAUUGCUACUCCUGGACGACUAAUAGAUAUGUUAGAAGCUCAACAUACAAACCUGCGAAGAGUCACCUACCUUGUGUUGGAUGAGGCUGAUCGGAUGUUGGACAUGGGAUUUGAGCCUCAGAUUCGGAAAAUUUUAUCUCAAGUAUGUUUCUAUCUCAUAACUUUCUCUUUUUAAUAUGAUGGCCUUAUCAUUGCUUAGUAUUUCCGCGGGGUAUAUUUCAACUAUCAGUACACUGUCAUCUUCUUACUGUAAUCAAAUAAGUGCUUAGUUGCUUUAUAUAUUUUCUAAUUGGCUUAUAGCUCUCAAGUUAUAUAACUAGCUAUGUGGAAGCCUUUUUUUUGUCCCUUCUAUUUUAACCUCUUAAUCUAAAGGAUAUGAUUUUUAGCUCAAUAGUUGUUGAUAUACCAAAUAUUCAUGGAUUCAGUUGUCUGUCUGGUAUCUUAGACGAAUCAUUACCUUAUUUUUGAAAUCAAUGCACUUGUCACUUGUUGUUUAAAUUGCAUUAUUAGCUUGAAUGCAGUAUACUUUUCCCUGCAGUUGCACAAGUGCAUUAGGAGAUUUUACUUGAUUUUCCUGACAUAUAUUUGUCCAACUAAUUUGUUUGUAGAUGAUAUUUAUUGUGUUUGUGCUAAUUAGUUUGGAUUUUCUUAUUGGAAUUUCAUAAAAUUAAAAAAAAAAUUAAGGAUUUUUUACUCUGAAUGUGAGAGGGGGUAUUUUUGUUUUAGAUCCGGCCAGAUAGACAGACUUUGUAUUGGAGUGCCACGUGGCCAAGGGAGGUUGAAACUUUAGCAAGACAGUUUCUGCGCAAUCCAUACAAGGUAAUCAUUGGCUCAGCCGAUUUGAAAGCAAAUCAAUCAAUAAACCAAGUUGUUGAAGUUUUGACAGAGGUGGAGAAGUACAACAGACUGAUCAAACUUCUAAAAGAAGUGAUGGAUGGGAGUCGAAUUCUAAUAUUCAUGGAGACCAAAAAAGGCUGUGACCAAGUUACGAGGCAGUUGAGAAUGGAUGGAUGGCCAGCCCUAUCCAUCCAUGGUGAUAAAAAUCAAGCUGAAAGGGAUUGGGUCCUAUCUGAGUUCAAAAGUGGCAGAAGUCCUAUAAUGACUGCCACUGAUGUUGCUGCACGGGGUCUUGGUAGGAUCAUUGUGUGAUAGGAGUGUUACUUCAUUUUGCUUAGGUCUUGAAAUUUUAAGAUAAAAAGAGUCGGCCGGCUGCUAUCCAGUUUCCUGAGAAUAUAAUUUGUGGUAUGGGUGCAAAGGGAGAUGCCAUUAUGCAGAUGAUUGACAAAUUGUUUUGUAUUAACCUGUAAGCAAGAUUUUUUUACUUCUAAGGGAUUUGCCAAUUGGAUUGAGAGGCAUAUCAGUUUCUCAUAUUCACUAUAAUAUCCCAUGAAAUAGCCUGCUUGGUUACUACCUUACUCUUACAGCUCAUGUUACAUGGACAUAAGGAGCGGUGCCUAUUGAUAUAGUUGGGACAGCAGUUUAAGAAUUUUCAGGGCUGACAAUAUAUCAUGAAGAUAGCAGUACAUUCUGUAGGUUGGGAAUGUGGCAUUUUGUUUUUCCUUUUUCUUUUGGGUGGGGUAUGAAUAUGAUAAUUUGGAAAUCUAGUUUCAUGUGCUGCUGUAAUUUGAAUGAAUUGCCUAACAUUGCCUAACAUGGCAUGGCUCCAAGCAUCAGGUGUCUAAGUAACAUGGUUGAAGGCAGUGUCCCCAUCCACGAUUAUGGAGCUGGUUUGUCUCGGCAGCCGGGUUGACUCUCACAUGCUUAUAAAUUGAUUGGAUACAGUUGUGGUGAUUGGUAUUGAAGCUGCUCCUUAUCCCUGCAAGGUUAAGGUGGGCACUCUUAUCUGAUGAAUCUGUUGUCUUAAGUUGGCUCAGAUCUUAGGAGUGCAGGGAUAAGGGAAUGUUUGUGUUUUAGGACUAAAUAAGGCUAGUCAUACUAACUGAAAGACUGCACAAGCUUGGCUUGCUCAUCCAUAUAGGAUUUUGAAAGAUUUUUAUUUAUUUGAUCUAGUGUUAAGCUUGAGUAGGUUGAUUCUUUCACAAUGAAAAACAUGAUAGCUGAGUAAUCUUUUGUUCAAGGUUUGCUAUCUUAAUGAUGGUCUCAGGUGGAAUGAGCCAAUCUUGAGAGUUUUGUUGUCUUGGAGCCUUGAAUUAUGACACAAUACUUCUAUGAAUCUUAUGCAUUAUUGUUUGUUGGCUUGAUAUCUAUUUCUGUUGGUUGUAGAUGUGAAGGACAUAAAGUGUGUGAUCAACUAUGAUUUUCCUUCCAGCCUUGAGGAUUAUG